rnacentral:rRNA from 1 species
AUACGAAGGGGGCUAGCGUUGUUCGGAAUUACUGGGCGUAAAGCGCACGUAGGCGGACAUUUAAGUCAGGGGUGGAAAUCCCGGGGCGUCAACCCUGGAACUGCCUUUGAUACUGGGUGUCUUGAGUACGAGAGAGGUGAGUGGAAUUCCGAGUGUAGAGGUGAAAUUCGUAGAUAUUCGGAAGAACACCAGUGGCGAAGGCGGCUCACUGGCUCGUAACUGACGCUGAGGUGCGAAAGCGGU